AUUUAGAAAGAAAUAAAUUUAGUAUAUUAUAUAUAUAUAUAUAUAUAUAUAUUAAAUAAAUAUCUAAAUUUAAGUGUAUCAUUUACAAUGAUAAGAUGUUUUUUAACUUUAUUUAAA
rnacentral:tRNA from 1 species